ensembl:lincRNA
CAUAUUUUGUAUUAGCUCAUACAUAAUUAUUUCUUUGUAUGUAGCUCAUACAUAUUUGUAUGUAGCUCAUACAUACUGUAUUUCUUUGUUUGUAUUAUAUAUAUAUAAUUAUUUCUUUGUAUGUAGCUCAUAUUCACUUGAAGAGUCUAUGGAGUGGAAUAAAACAAUGUUCACAAUCGGUGGUAGUUUUUAUUGCCUGUAAAGAGAAUGCAAUGAUUUCAUAUUAAUUUUUGAGAUAUGGAAUAUUUUAAGGAAUGUAAGAUAAACAUUGAAAUAUCAUGUGUGAAGAUUAUGAAAAUGUAAUUGCUGUGUAAUAAUAACAUGACUCCCUUGCACAUGCUGUCCUGGAUAAGGUGGUAAGGUUCUCUACAAUCUUGUACACUCUUCAUUAGAAGUUUCACACUAGGUGGGAAUGCAUAUCCUGGACGCUGGGCAAAUAUUGGUCUUCAGUUUUAGGCAGUAUUCAGAUAGAUAUUGGAAGUCAAGAUUUAUUUAUAUACUUUUAAAAGUUGGAAUCUCAAUGGAUUAUUUUUAAUUAAAAUUUAACUGAGAACAUUUUCCCUUUCUUAUGCAGGGAAAUCAGAGGACUCAGGCAGUUCAUGGAGGCAGCAGGAAUGUUGUUAUUUCAAGGAUUUGAUGUACUAUUUUACUUUUCUGUCCAGAAGUGCUUUAGCAAACACCAAGGAAUCAUAUCAAAAUAUUUGAAGAUUAUGGGAAAAGAGAAGAAAUAAAGAAAAAUAAAACAACAUUCAAGAAGACUGCGGGUUUGAACUUUGUGGAAAAAAAGUGAGCUUUGAAGAAGAAUAUGGUUUACAUGUCUUUGUUUUCCAAACUAGAAAUGUUAACCCUAAUACAGUACAUAUACUACAAUCUAACCCAUAAAACUAUGAAAGAAAAACAAGUGUAAAUUCAAUAACAAUAAAUAAAUGAAUGUCAAGUGUAGCCAUGGCACACAUUAAUACUAUGAUGGUUUGGUAAUUUUGUUCAAAUACACUUUCUCAAUGACAAGAAAUCCAUCACAUUGAUGAGGUUUACUAUCCUUUGUGCUCUAUUCUUUCUAGCUGUGAC